rnacentral:tRNA from 1 species
GCGCCAGUAGCUCAGGAGGAUAGAGCGGCGGCCUCCUAAGCCGCAGGUCGGGGGUUCGAAUCCUCCCUGGCGCA